UCCCUCCUUUUAAUAUUAUAUUGAGAGUUUAUAUAUAAUCUAAAGUGUUCUCAUUAUGACAGCACUACUAGUCAUUUGAAGAAUACAUUCAUCUAAAUAAACACACUCCAAAGUGAACCAAAUGCUAAUGCACAUUUUAUUGGAUGAAAAGACAAACAAUAUAAUUAUACUUGAAUUUUAGAAAAUCAAAGGUAGUAAAACAAGUUUACACCAGAGCCCAGGGCAGGGUUUAUAAGUUAGCCAUACACACAUUCUCUCCAAGCCACACAAGCCUGGAAAGUUUGCUAAAAUGAGCUGAGGGUUACUUCACCAGACUAACAAAAAGGAAAAUGUCUAUCAGUUUUUCUUUUGUUCUUUCCAGAUCCUGCUCAAGUGCACACUGAGCCAGCAGGUUCACCAGAAAGCUAUUGAGCAUUGGCUGGAACACAUUAUGCAGGGUGAAUUUCUUCUGGAAUGUUGCCAAAGGUUUUUUAUGCUUCUGUGGUGAUGGGAAUUGAGAACUGGGAGCCCAGAAACAUAAAUCAUGGAAAAGACGGAACGCCAGGCCACUGGGUACACCACAACCUCACGAUUCUUCAAUCAUAGAAUUUGAGCAGGAGACUCAAGGCAUCAGCUAGGUUUGGAAAGGCAAAGUAGAAACAACCCUGACCGCUGGAGACUUGUAUUUUCAUGCUGUCUCUCUCAUCUGCUGUGUGACUGAAGGCCAGAUAUUUCACUUCCCUGGACCUCUGUUUCAUUGACUAUAAAGUAAGAGAGGCCUCGAUGGUUUAAAAUGCUCCGAGGUAUCUUACCAGAAAUUCAUAUGAAAUAACAGCACAAUUAUGUA
rnacentral:lncRNA from 1 species